AGGUUCUACGGUCUUAUGAUUUGCUCACAGAAGCGAAAGAUGGAAGCAGACUACUCGGUCCCUGCUAGAUCAGCACCCUCAGCCAUGUUCCCUACUGUGCAUUUUUCUAAGGGUCUCAGGUUUAAUUUUUAAUUCCGCUGAACAAUGGGGCUUUCACCUCUUCCUGUGGAAGCAACCGUACAAUAUACACCCCUUCAAUGGGGUGACUUGAAUCAGAACAUCUGUCUUAGCAGGAUAUCAACACUAUAAAACCCUAAAAUGAAAACCAACUAGCUCAGGCACCACAGGACAAGGACCAAGGACAAACUCAACCAACCAGAUACCAACAACAGUCCCCCUCUGCUAAAGGGAAUUGGGGGAAAGGCAAUAGCAAACGCAGAGCUUAGUCAUAAUAAACCAACCAACGCAAGAGAGGCUUGCAGCGGACCCUAAAGAGAGCUGACGAUGGACUAUGAGCAGCCUAUUCAAGAAGGAAAUGCUUCACCCUGAUCCAAAAGUAAACUUAGAAACAGACCCACCUCAGCAUUUGAGCCAGGCCUCGACAAGUCCAAACGAAUCAACCAACAGAGAAUUAAAAUGUUCAUGAAACUGAGAGGCCAACCAAAGUACAAGUUUCACUCAAACCACAUGGUUUCAGCAAUGGUGACUGGCACUGAAUACCACAGUGGAUAUUUCAGGAAUCACUUCAGCUAUACAUGCAUGCAGCAGCUGUUUAACACCACACAGGAACGUUAUACAAGAGUUUAGGACAGGCAGUGAAGAACAAUUCUGUAUGCAAUUGAAGCUACAAGGAGAAUAUAGAGAGGCAGAAUGUCAUCAACCCAAACAGGAAUCUGGACACGACACCAGGGCUAAUGCCUUAAAAAAAAAAAACAGGUGCAGAACCAAUUUACUACAGGUGAUCAAGAUCUCUUUCAAGUGUCUUCCAGAAUAAGACAGGAUUCAGCAUCAUCGUAUAGGGGGUGACAGACCCACAAGCAUCUGUUAGAAUAUAGAUAUUCAGGCCUGCCUCUAAAGCCUAUACUUUAAGAA